UACGGAGGGUGCAAGCGUUAUCCGGAUUCACUGGGUUUAAAGGGUGCGUAGGUGGGCAGGUAAGUCAGUGGUGAAAUCUCCGGGCUCAACCCGGAAACUGCCAUUGAUACUAAUGGUCUUGAAUUUUGUUGAGGUAGGCGGAAUAUGUCAUGUAACGGUGAAAUGCUUAGAUAUGACAUAGAACACCGAUUGCGAAGGCAGCUUACUAAGCAAAUAUUGACGCUGAGGCACGAAAGCGUGGGGAUCAAACAGG
rnacentral:rRNA from 1 species